rnacentral:rRNA from 1 species
UUGUAAUUUGUAGAGGAUGCUUUUGAUGCGGUGCCUUCCGAGUUCCCUGGAACGGGACGCCAUAGAGGGUGAGAGCCCCGUCUGGUUGGAUGCCAAAUCUCUGUAAAGCUCCUUCGACGAGUCGAGUAGUUUGGGAAUGCUGCUCUAAAUGGGAGGUAUAUGUCUUCUAAAGCUAAAUACCGGCCAGAGACCGAUAGCGCACAAGUAGAGUGAUCGAAAGAUGAAAAGCACUUUGAAAAGAGAGUUAAAAAGUACGUGAAAUUGUUGAAAGGGAAGCGUUUAUGACCAGACUUGGGCUUGGUUAAUCAUCUGGGGUUCUCCCCAGUGCACUUUUCCAGUCCAGGCCAGCAUCAGUUUUCGCCGGGGGAUAAAGGCUUCGGGAAUGUGGCUCUCUCCGGGGAGUGUUAUAGCCCGUUGCGUAAUACCCUGGCGGGGACUGAGGUUCGCGCAUCUGCAAGGAUGCUGGCGUAAUGGUCAUCAACGACCCGUCUUGAAACACGGACCAAGGAGUCGUCUUCGUAUGCGAGUGUUCGGGUGUCAAACCCCUACGCGUAAUGAAAGUGAACGCAGGUGAGAGCUUCGGCGCAUCAUCGACCGAUCCUGAUGUUCUCGGAUGGAUUUGAGUAAGAGCAUACGGGGCCGGACCCGAAAGAAGGUGAACUAUGCCUGUGUAGGGUGAAGCCAGAGGAAACU